AUCCCUUCUCUUGAGUUUUGCAGUGAGCCCAGGACACAGGCAGGUAUUUCAGGAAACCUUACUGCAUGCCUGCUCCAGGAAGAGAUAGUGUGCUUAAAAGUACAGCAUGAUGAUCACUUGCAACAUCUUCAAGAAAUGACAUGGGAAUAUGAUGAGUGCGAGUCACCUUAAUUAUAAAAUACCAGUUUGGUACCAGAACAGGUUUAUUGUGUGCAUUGAACAAAAUAAACAUGCUAUGUAUUGGUCUCUUAAUUUCUUUAACUUGAAGGGUGCUGUGCAACUUCUUGUACAGAGGAAUGCAAUUGUGCUGCAGAGGGGGUAAAGAGUUAAGAUGUGUGAUUCCUUUAGCCAUUUCACCUGCUUGCACAAUAUUAACUACUCAUUUGCAUUCCUACCUUACUCAUUUUCAUUAAGGGAUAAUAUGCUGCCUUGAUUAGAUUUUCUUUGCAGACAAACUUCUAAUGAUUUCUUGGCAAAUGGUAAAUGUGUCAUCAUAUACAAACUCAAUGUAAGAUAUUAUAAUAGCAGUGUAGCAUCUUUUAGACUCAAAUAAGUUUCCACUGCCUGGAAAAUUAAAACAAAUAAAUUGUGGUGAGGAAGGGCAGAAAAGAUCGGCUGGAAUCAGGGAAGCUGCAUACCAGAAGGAAUAGCACCUAAAGUAUAGUCAGUAGCCCCUUUAGGUGGGGACAGUUCUGUUUUUGUCUAUGAAGAGACCAUAACAGAUGCUGUCAAUUUGAAGGUGGGCAAGAAAGCCAACAGUGAAUAAUGGAGAAUCAGUACUGAGCUGUAUGGAUUGAUGUUGAAUCUGAACAGCAGAUAGCCCACAUGGAUGGGGGCUACCAGAAACUUGAGAAGACAGAAGAGCUAUGCAAAAAAAAAAAAAAGUUUGAAGUAGAAACAAAUAUGCAAAUGUCUUUCCAGUUGGUGAGAGGGGUCCAGUGAGAAAGCAGGAAAGAUUCUUUGAUAGAAGGAAGUUUUAAUGUUUCUGUUUGGAAACUGCUGCUGUGUAUUGCACAAAUGUUAUCCUGAGGUGGAGAGUACUGAAUUUUGAUCAAAUUAUAAGAAAGAGAAAACAACAUAUUGGGAAACAGUGGACAACUUGAUAUGUUUUUCAUUUAGAAAAUUGUCCCAUUUUGACAUCUGUGGAAGCUUUUAUUCAUUUAGAUCCUGUUUUCUGAAAUAAACUGUUUUAAUUUAAUAUAUUUAAUGUUUUAAUAGUAAAAUGUUGAGGCUUUAUUGUGACAAAGUAAAGCAGCAUAAUCCUCCCCAAAAAAUGUUGUUUUAUAUUUUUGAAAGUGUUAUUUUGAUUUCAUUCCAUAAAGGAAAAAUAAUCAACAAAACAAAAUGUCAGCAUUUCCUGAAGUACUGAAUUACUCCCUCUUGACUUGUCCCUUUGCUACUUCAAAAGGCAUUGUGUAACUUGGACUGGAAAGGAGAACUGAACUAAUUAAAGAUAAAAUGAGAACAGCAAGAAUUAAACAAACAAAACCAAAGCAAAUGCAUACAGAAAACAACCCAGCAAAAGCCCAAAGGAAUUAUUAAUGCAAUCAUUUUCCUCAAGCAAUCAAGACAAAUGACGUCAAGAUUUUUUAGUGCUGCUUGGAAAAAAAACAGCAACUGUAAAAUAUAAA